GGUUGGUUACACAGCUUUUGAUUUGCAUAGGUAUUCGAACCCAGGUUUUGCUGACUUCAAUGCUUUACCUUAAAAGAUGCUUUUUUAGAAUGGUAGAUGUUAAUAGAUGGUCUGUGUAAUUAGUUUCCUGGGCCUCCUGCAACAACAUAGAAAAAAAUGGGUAACGUAACAUUUAUUCUCUCACAAUUCCAGAGGCCAGAAGUCCAAAAUCAAGGUGUCAGCAGGGCGAUGCUCUCUGAAGGCUCUAGAGGAGAAUCCUUCCUUACCUCUUCCAAACUUGUGGCAGUUCUCAGCAGUCCUUGGUGUUCUUGGCUUGUAGAUGCAUCACUCCAAUAUCUGCCUCCAUCACCCCCCAGCUGUCUUUCCUCAUAUGUUUUUGCAUCAUCUUACCUCUGCGUCUGUGUUCAAGUUUUCUUCUGCUUAUGAGGACAUCGGUUAUAUUUGUUUAGGAGCCUACCCUAUUCCAGUGUGAUCUCAUCUUAGUUACAU
rnacentral:lncRNA from 10 species